AACGCUGAAGAGAGGAGCUUGCUCUUCUUGGAUGAGUUGCGAACGGGUGAGUAACGCGUAGGUAACCUGCCUUGUAGCGGGGGAUAACUAUUGGAAACGAUAGCUAAUACCGCAUAACAAUGGAUGACACAUGUCAUUUAUUUGAAAGGGGCAAUUGCUCCACUACAAGAUGGACCUGCGUUGUAUUAGCUAGUAGGUGAGGUAAUGGCUCACCUAGGCGACGAUACAUAGCCGACCUGAGAGGGUGAUCGGCCACACUGGGACUGAGACACGGCCCAGACUCCUACGGGAGGCAGCAGUAGGGAAUCUUCGGCAAUGGGGGCAACCCUGACCGAGCAACGCCGCGUGAGUGAAGAAGGUUUUCGGAUCGUAAAGCUCUGUUGUAAGUCAAGAACGGGUGUGAGAGUGGAAAGUUCACACUGUGACGGUAGCUUACCAGAAAGGGACGGCUAACUACGUGCCAGCAGCCGCGGUAAUACGUAGGUCCCGAGCGUUGUCCGGAUUUAUUGGGCGUAAAGCGAGCGCAGGCGGUUUGAUAAGUCUGAAGUUAAAGGCUGUGGCUCAACCAUAGUUCGCUUUGGAAACUGUCAAACUUGAGUGCAGAAGGGGAGAGUGGAAUUCCAUGUGUAGCGGUGAAAUGCGUAGAUAUAUGGAGGAACACCGGUGGCGAAAGCGGCUCUCUGGUCUGUAACUGACGCUGAGGCUCGAAAGCGUGGGGAGCGAACAGGAUUAGAUACCCUGGUAGUCCACGCCGUAAACGAUGAGUGCUAGGUGUUGGAUCCUUUCCGGGAUUCAGUGCCGCAGCUAACGCAUUAAGCACUCCGCCUGGGGAGUACGACCGCAAGGUUGAAACUCAAAGGAAUUGACGGGGGCCCGCACAAGCGGUGGAGCAUGUGGUUUAAUUCGAAGCAACGCGAAGAACCUUACCAGGUCUUGACAUCCCGAUGCUAUUUCUAGAGAUAGAAAGUUACUUCGGUACAUCGGUGACAGGUGGUGCAUGGUUGUCGUCAGCUCGUGUCGUGAGAUGUUGGGUUAAGUCCCGCAACGAGCGCAACCCCUAUUGUUAGUUGCCAUCAUUCAGUUGGGCACUCUAGCGAGACUGCCGGUAAUAAACCGGAGGAAGGUGGGGAUGACGUCAAAUCAUCAUGCCCCUUAUGACCUGGGCUACACACGUGCUACAAUGGUUGGUACAACGAGUUGCGAGUCGGUGACGGCGAGCUAAUCUCUUAAAGCCAAUCUCAGUUCGGAUUGUAGGCUGCAACUCGCCUACAUGAAGUCGGAAUCGCUAGUAAUCGCGGAUCAGCACGCCGCGGUGAAUACGUUCCCGGGCCUUGUACACACCGCCCGUCACACCACGAGAGUUUGUAACACCCGAAGUCGGUGAGGUAACCUUUUGGAGCCAGCCGCCUAAGGUGGGACAGAUGAUUGGG
rnacentral:rRNA from 1 species